UCCAUGAACUCUCUGGGCAGCUUGUAAGAAUUAUUAUAGGAUUACACUAACUGAAGAUGUUGCUUGUAAAGCAUUGAGGAAAUGCCUAAAUAUUUAUUAUGAACUUGUGGUUUUGGGGAACUUGGCUGGGGAGACCACCCGGAAGAAUGAGAACCAGGCAGGCAGACCAAAACCAAGACACUGGAUAAUCAUAACUGCCUUAUAUGGAACCUAAAAGAAAAAAUAUGCACUCUUAAAAUAAAAACAAAUGCUCUGUAUGGCUCUUAAAUACUUCUCCCUCCCUUACACAUAUUAGUCGUGUUGUAGCUUCGUAUCUGUGCUGUCAAAAGUUCUGUUUCUGCUCUUUUAGAUGGUCACAUAACAGGACAGAGAAGCUCCGUUAGACUGAAUGGAAUGAAAACCUUAUGGAAUGGCUGGUUGCCACUUUGAUACAUAGCACAAUUCCCAAAAGACCAAAAGAUUACCCAAGCUCCUCUAGUUGCAGAGAAAUGAGUUACCAAGCAGGGGAAAAGGAGGUGAUAUGACUGAGAAAACACAGUCCAUGAAUCCUCAUUUCUUAAAACGGGAUUCCAUUUGCCUGGAGGUAUUGAAAAUUAUGCAUUAUAUAAAGAUUGCAAAAUAAUAAACAAAUGUUUGCAUCUGUCUCUCCUGGGAAACAAACUGUGAAAGAAGAUGUCUUUUAUUCUAUCAAGUAAAGAAUCUUUCAUAGAGAACUCUCCCAGCCUUGAUGGAGGCCAGCCACAUCAGCGACUGCUGCACAGGAGCAGCAGCGCAACCUUUCUUUUCAGCUCAUUUACAGAAUUCCACCUCUCCCCCUCACAGCAAGGUCCUGGUCAUGUAGAGAACAGCAUGUCGGUUCUCUGCUGCUGUGGCUGUGAGGCUUAAUCCCUCUGUGUCCUCACACUGACCAAGAAUGAAGGGCCCUACUUCUGCCCCCACUUCCACUGCUGACCUUAGAAGAGGGGAAUGCAUGUAAUUUUCAGGUUUCUGACAUGCCCUUUUUGACUGGCCCCUGGAUAAGAGUUUAACAAUCUCAGGACUAUAAAGGAGGCCCUUCGGACUGCAGAGUCUGGGGAAAAAAGAGUGGGACGAUCCCCUUUGCUUCAGAGCCCCUGCCCUAAGACAAAGAAGCUCUCUUGCUUUCUUGGGGAAGGAUGGUUGAGUAUUUAAUACUAGCUAAACAGAGUACCAGCUUGGUCUUGAGAAUAGUGCAACCCCAUUUUUAAACUAACUCAAUAAUAAUAAUUGAGGAGAAUGGGGGGGGGGGGAAAUAGCCAGAAAACUUCAGCUAUGCUGUUUAAAGUCCAGUUACAUUUUAUAAGGAAUGUAAUAGCUCUUCAGUGCAAACCUUUGAGCAAAAUCAUUCUAAGUGUCUUUUACAUAACAGAGAAAUCCCUACUGUGUCACCUGGAAACUUAAAAUGCUGUGGUUUGUACCUUCUCUACUCCGAAGCUGUGCACUAGACCUGUCACUAGUCUAAUUGUAGUUCCAUAAUUAAUGUUUGAGCUGCGAGCUGCUGCUGCUGCUUUUGGGGGUUAAUAUACAAAAGCAGGAGGCAUCAGGCUGGGCAGAAGGUUAAGGCACACUGAACACACAGGCAGGGUGAAUCUGACUGCUCCAGAGUACAUGUUGUUUGUAGGAACACAGGAAAAGGGGGUUGUGUAGGCCAUGCUGUGGCUGCAAAACUACAUUCCUUUAAAGCAGCUGUGUCACGCCAGAUGGAUGCUCUAAAGAUUGAAUAUCUGCAGUCUCUGCUUUGAAUGAGAAUUCAUGCAGUUUUCAUACCUCUUCAAUGAAGUUUGUGCCUCCUUUCCAGACCCUGUAUUGUCAAGUGUAUGAGAAACGUCAGAGUGAACUUUGAGAGUACAUAGUUAAUAGAAAAAAGGAUUAUUGUAGUCCACACAGACCUCUCUAACAUAUACUGUAAAGAGACAGAAAAUAUCACAAGUUGCCCUUAUUCAAUAUUAAAAAAAAAAGAUUCAAAGCUUAAAUACUUUGAGUAGUCUACUCUGUUUCCUUAUAGCUAAUUAACAAUACUGAAUUUUAGUAAAUCAAGUAUUUUUAGCAAACAUAUAGAAAUACAGGUCAAAUAUAGACUAAAAUAUCAGCUACAAGAAAAAAAUUAAUGUUUUUACAUGCCAUUUUCCCCUUAUAUUUCUUCUGCAACUGUGCCUAUAUUUAGCAGUAAUCCAGUGCAUCUUGAAUGAUAUUUUGAUCCAGGAUUUUUCUGAUUUAGAUACCAACAGGCCAGUCCUGUAUACCCCAUUGUGACGCUUCCAGCACCUGAAUUACAGAUAUUGUUUUAUGGUAAAGUAAUUACCCUUUCAAUUUAGAACUAUUUGCAUUUCUGUAUUUCUUAUGAGGAGCAGCAAGUAGGAAAAUAUGCCUGACAGUUUAAUAAGAACUUCAUUUUCGUGCCUUUCCAAAUAUGUUUUGAGAAACAAAGUCAGGAAUUUCAAUGGAACUGAAUGACAGAUAAACCACUCCUACCAAACCCUUCUGCUUCUUCAGAACCCCACAACUUCAUACUGCAAAAACUCAACCCAAAAUGUUACUCAAAAAAAAAAACCCUAAGG
rnacentral:lncRNA from 13 species